GCCUGAGUAAGAAAGCGGCAGAUCCUCUGGUUUGCCAGACAUACUUUUCUGGUUGCUCACAUCUCUAGUGUCACAACAGGAGCCAGAGUUUCACUGUGUUGCCCAGGCUGGAGUGCAGUGGCACAAUCUCGGCUCACUGCAACCUCGGCCUCCUGGUUCAAGCAAUUCUGCCUCAGCCUCCUGAGUAGCUGGGAUUACAGGCACACACCACCAUGCCCGGCUAAUUUUUGCAUUUUAGAAGAGAUGGGGUUUCACCAUGUUGGACUCGAAUUCCUGUAGCCAUGGUUUUUAACCCACUCAUCCAAUCUUUGUCUUUUAAUUGAUGUAUUUAGAUUAUUUACACUUAAUGUAACUAUUGAUAUAUUGUGCUUAAUUUUUUGCUUUCUGUUGUCUGUUUUUCUGUUUGUUCCUGAUAUCUUGUGUGUUGCUUGAAAAUUUAUUAAAAUUCUAUUUUGAUUUAUCUACUACAUUUUAAAAUUUAUAUCUUUAUAUAGUUUUGGCAGUUGCCCUAUGUAUUAUAUUACAUAUAUAUAACUUAUCACAGCCUGCUAUUGUUGACAUUUUACCAGUUCAAAUGAAGUGUAGAAACUUCACUUUGUUUUACAUACCUUACCUUCCCCAUUUAUAUUUGUUUUGAAUAUUUCAUUUACAUUUACUUAAUACUACUUCAGACUGUGUUAUAAUUUUUGCUUCAACCGUCA
rnacentral:lncRNA from 10 species